rnacentral:rRNA from 1 species
CGCGUAGGCGGCCUGUCAAGUCAACUGUGAAAUCUCCGGGCUUAACUCGGAACGGUCAGUUGAUACUGUCAGGCUAGAGUGCAGAAGGGGCAAUCGGAAUUCUUGGUGUAGCGGUGAAAUGCGUAGAUAUCAAGAGGAACACCUGAGGUGAAGACGGGUUGCUGGGCUGACACUGACGCUGAGGCGCGGAAGCCAGGGGAGCAAACGGGAUUAGAUACCCCGGUAGUCCUGGCCCUAAACGAUGAAUACUUGGUGUCUGGAGUUAUUAUCGCUCCGGGUGCCGUCGCUAACGUUUUAAGUAUUCCGCCUGGGGAGUACGCACGCAAGUGUGAA